rnacentral:rRNA from 1 species
GGACCCGGUCUUCGGACUGGGAGCGUACACAGGUGCUGCAUGGCUGUCGUCAGCUCGUGUCGUGAGAUGUUGGGUUAAGUCCGCAACGAGCGCAACCCCUGCUGCCAGUUGCCAACGGGUGAAGCCGGGCACUCUGGCGGGACUGCCAUCGACAAGAUGGAGGAAGGUGGGGAUGACGUCAAGUCAUCAUGGCUCUUAUGUCCAGGGCGACACACGUGCUACAAUGGCCGGCACAGCGGGAAGCGAGGCAGUGAUGCCAAGCGGAUCCCUUAAAGCCGGUCUCAGUUCGGAUUGAAGUCUGCAACUCGACUUCAUGAAGCUGGAAUCGCUAGUAAUCGCAGAUCAGCCAAGCUGCGGUGAAUACGUUCCCGGGCCUU